rnacentral:rRNA from 1 species
GACGAACGCUGGCGGCGUGCUUAACACAUGCAAGUCGAACGGAGAGGCCCUGCUUUUGUGGGGUGCUCGAGUGGCGAACGGGUGAGUAACACGUGAGUAACCUGCCCUUGACUUUGGGAUAACUUCAGGAAACUGGGGCUAAUACCGGAUAGGAGCUCCUGCUGCACGGUGGGGGUUGGAAAGUUUCGGCGGUUGGGGAUGGACUCGCGGCUUAUCAGCUUGUUGGUGGGGUAGUGGCUUACCAAGGCUUUGACGGGUAGCCGGCCUGAGAGGGUGACCGGCCACAUUGGGACUGAGAUACGGCCCAGACUCCUACGGGAGGCAGCAGUGGGGAAUAUUGCACAAUGGGCGGAAGCCUGAUGCAGCAACGCCGCGUGCGGGAUGACGGCCUUCGGGUUGUAAACCGCUUUCGCCUGUGACGAAGCGUGAGUGACGGUAAUGGGUAAAGAAGCACCGGCUAACUACGU